rnacentral:rRNA from 1 species
GACGAACUGUCCAAACGUUGUUCGGAAUCACUGGGCUUAAAGGGCGCGUAGGCGGUCGAUCAAGUCGGGGGUGAAAUCCUGCAGCUCAACUGUAGAAGUGCCUUCGAUACUGAUCGUCUGGAGGGAGGUAGGGGUGUGCGGAACUUCCAGUGGAGCGGUGAAAUGCGUUGAUAUUGAAAGGAACGCCGGAGGCGAAAGCGGCGCACUGGACCUCUUCUGACGCUGAGGCGCGAAAGCUAGGGGAGCAAACGGG